rnacentral:rRNA from 1 species
UACGUAGGGUGCAAGCGUUAUCCGGAAUCAUUGGGCGUAAAGGUUGUGUAGGUGGUUAUAUUAGUCUGAUGUGAAAGCCCCCGGCUCAACCGGGGAGGGUCAUUGGAAACUGGGGAACUUGAGUACUGAAGAGGAAAGCGGAAUUCCACGUGUAGCGGUGAAAUGCGUAGAUAUGCGGAGGAACACCGAUGGCGAAGGCAAUCCCCUGGACCUGUACUGACGCUCAUGCACGAAAGCGUGGGGAGCAAACAGG